GUAAAGCACUUUCAGUCGUGAGGAAGGUAGUGUAGUUAAUAGCUGCAUUAUUUGACGUUAGCGACAGAAGAAAGCACCGGCUAACUCCGUGCCAGCAGCCGCGGUAAUACGGAGGGUGCGAGCGUUAAUCGGAAUUACUGGGCGUAAAGCGCAUGCAGGUGGUUUGUUAAGUCAGAUGUGAAAGACCCGGGGCGUCAACCUCGGAAUUGCAUUUGAAACUAGGCAGACUAGAGUAUUGUAGAGGGGGGUAGGAAUUUCAGGUGUAGCGGUGAAAUAGCGUAGAGAUCUGAAGGAAUACCGGUGGCGAAGGCGGCCCCCUCGGACAGAUACUGACACUCAGAUGCGAAAGCGUGGGGAGCAAACAGGAUUAGAUACCCUGGUAG
rnacentral:rRNA from 1 species